GCUUUUACACUACAUGCCACAUUCCCCCUUUCACACACACAUACAGUGAAUGGCAAAUGCCAUUGUAAACAGAAACUAAUAAUAAUCCACAUUCGCAUCUUGCUAAAGGACUCUUCGCCAUGAAGCAGGAGGAACCGGGGGUCCACCGUUAGUAGACAACCUGCUAUACCUCCUGAGCUACAGUCCCUUCUGGGCUACUGUAGAAACAUAGCGGUUCAACAUGGCGGACACCAUGGCGGACACCAUGGAAGACAACCCGUGACAUAAAAGCCUUGUUCUAAGAUGGUGUGGGCGUCCACCAACAGAGUGGGAUGUGCAGUGCAGACCUGCUAUAACAUAUUUGUGUGGGGAGUUCAGUGGAGAGAAGCAACCUUCCUUGUCUGCAACUACUAAGGUAAACUGGAUAGGAGAGCCUCCGUACAGAGUGGGGAUUCCAUGUUAAGCCUGUCCAUCCAGCCAUGGAGGUGUGUGCAGCAACAAUAUGUGCUUUCCAGCUUUCUAGUCCAACUACAUGUACUGGUUCAAAUAAAGAGUGAGGAGAAUGCUGGUUGUGGUAAUAUGGGAAAUUAUACAUUAUUCUGCUUGUAACUGCAUUACAAAAUGUGUUAUGUUAUUCAAUUCAAUUCAAUUCAAUUUUAUUUGUAUAGCGCCAAUUCAUAACAGAAGUUAUCUCAGGACACUUUUCAAAUAGAGCAGGUCUAGACCGAACUCUUUAUAACAUUAUUUACAGAGACCCAUCAGUACCACCAUGAGCAAGUGCUUGGCGACAAGGGCAAGGAAAAACUGCCUGUUAAAAGGCAGAAACCUAGGACAGAUCCUUCGG